UACGUAGGGGGGCAAGCGUUGUCCGGAAUCAUUGGGCGUAAAGAGCGUGUAGGCGGCCAGAAAAGUCCGCUGUGAAAACUCGAGGCUCAACUUCGAGCUGUCGGUGGAAACUUUCUGGCUAGAGUCCGGAAGAGGAGAAUGGAAUUCCUGGUGUAGCGGUGAAAUGCGCAGAUAUCAGGAAGAACACCCGUGACGAAGGCGGUUCUCUGGGACGGUACUGACGCUGAGACGCGAAAGCGUGGGGAGCGAACAGG
rnacentral:rRNA from 1 species